rnacentral:misc_RNA from 1 species
AAAAAAAAAAAAAAAAAAAAAAACAAAAUAGCAAGUUGAAAUACAGGGGAUUGUGAAUACCCAGUUCUGUGGCCCCUAGUAAAAUUAGCCACCAAUUUGUAUCUGUGUUCAUUAUAUAUGAAUAAUUCCUUCCUUUGUCCUAACUAGCAGAAGAGAGCAUGAGAACCAAAACAGAUUCUACCACCCCAAAAUGAAGGCGUGUAUUUCAGCCCAACCGGACACUGUGUAUAGCGUGCCAGAUUGUCCCUUCCAUUUAGAAGAGCUUUCUUUGACGCACUCUUUCUGUUUUUUAAUCAAACCAGGGUACAAUGGUAAAAAUGACACACCAAACUGACCUCCCACUCUCCUGAGGCUUGAGCUAGAUCCAAUCACAAUGCCUACAUCAGCCUGAAGCAGACAAAGCAGGUCACCAACUGAGUCUCCAAUAUAAACAGUCAAGUUCUUUUUGUCAGUGCUGUAGCUCUUUAAAAUAGUGUUGAAAGAUUGAACUUUGUCUAUAGGAGAUUCCACUUUCUUAAUAAUCUCGCCAGUGGAAAUUGAAUCUUCAAAAGAGAACUCAUUUGCAUGUAUAUUCAGAACAUCCAAACCCCCUGAUGAGAAAGCAGAUCUAAUGAGAUCAGCACACCAACAAUAUGAGAGCACAUGUAUAUUAGCAUUCAAAUUUUCAUUCUUCACAAUUUUCUUAAAAAAACUAGUGCAACCAUCUUGAAGAAUCAGUCGUUCACCAGCUCUUUUAAUGUCUUCAAGAUUCAGACCCUUAAGAACUCCAGAUUCAAUCACUCUACUGUUUGCCCUUUGCUCGAAGUCUGAAAGUUGCUCAAUUGCUUUACACAGAACUUCAUAGUUAAACUCCACUUUCUCAGAGGGCAGAAUGCUUUCAAUGCAUUGUUCAUACUCUUCUGUAUACUGUCCAGAGAGAAGACCCCACGUGUUCCUCAGCUCAGCUGAUGACAUCCUGGCAAUUUGAUUCUCAGGUUGAGCCUGAUCAGACUUUGGUGCUGUUACAAUUGCAAUCUCUGCCAAAAUGGCAGAGGAAUCAACAAUGGUGCAUGUCAAAUCAAAAUCAGAAAAUAUCACAAGGCGAUCUUCUACAGGGUUAUGCUCUUUUGUUAGAGGAACCACAGUGGACUGCACAAGUGGCUGCACAUUGAAGAACUCUAUUUCCAGUUUCAUGGCUUGGUGAUAAAGCUUUUCAAUGAUGUCAAGCUCUUCGCCUGUCAAAGGGACACUAAGUUUAUCCAGCAAGUCUUCAGUUUGCAGAGCUGAUGCCUGAAAACCCUCAGAUGAGUAAUUGUCA